GACGAACGCUGGCGGCGUGCCUAAUACAUGCAAGUAGAACGCUGAAGCGAGGAGCUUGCUCUUCUUGGAUGAGUUGCGAACGGGUGAGUAACGCGUAGGUAACCUGCCUUGUAGCGGGGGAUAACUAUGGGAAACGAUAGCUAAUACCGCAUAACAAUGGAUGACACAUGUCAUUUAUUUGAAAGGGGCAAUUGCUCCACUACAAGAUGGACCUGCGUCGUAUUAGCUAGUAGGUGAGGUAAUGGCGCACCUAGGCGAGGAUACGUAGCCGACCUGAGAGGGUGAUCGGCCAGCCUGGGACUGUGACCCGGCCCAGAGGCCUACGGGAGGCAGCAGUAGGGAAUCUUCGGCAAUGGGGGGAAACCUGACCGAGAAACGCCGCGUGAGUGAAGAAGGUUUUCGGGUCGUAAAGCUCGGUUGUAAGUCAAGAACGGGUGUGAGAGUGGAAAGUUCACACUGUGACGGUAGCUUACCAGAAAGGGACGGCUAACUACGUG
rnacentral:rRNA from 1 species